rnacentral:rRNA from 1 species
GACGAACGCUGGCGGCGUGCCUAAUGCAUGCAAGUCGCACGCAGUCGCUUCGGCGGCUGAGUGGCGCACGGCUGAGGAACACGUGGGUAUCUGCCCCGGAGUGGGGGAUAACAGCGCGAAAGCGCUGCUAAUCCCGCAUACGAUCGCGCAAGCGAAGAAAGCAGCAAUGCGCUCUGGGAGGAGCCUGCGGCCUAUCAGGUCGUUGGUGUGGUAACGGCGCACCAAGCCGAUGACGGGUAGCUGGUCUGUGAGGACAACCAGCCAGACUGGGACUGAGACACGGCCCAGACUCCUACGGGAGGCAGCAGCAAGGAAUUUUCCCUAUUGGGCGCAAGCCUGAGGGAGCAACGCCGCGUGCAGGACGACGGCUUUCGGGUUGUAAACUGCUUUUGGGGGGGAAGAUACUGACGGUACCCUCCGAAUAAGCCCCGGCUAACUCUGUGC